AUUCCAUUUCUGGCUGAUGGGAACCCUUCCGCACCUCCCGGCGGGAGCCAGACGUGUUUUUCAGGGAGGGAGAAUCUAGAGGGAGGAAAACACAGAACCAGCCCGGAAAACAGAGCUGGCUCACCAGACUCGGCAGCUCCGUCCCACCCUCGAAGGGGCGACAGCACUUCCACAUACUCUGGUUCCCUGAGGGAGAUCAGGUAAGGGUCACUGUGCUUAAGGAUGCACAGGCUGGCACGGUCCGAGAAACCCAGAAGCGUUCGGAACAGUAUUUGGGGCAGUGCCGGCCACGCCCCAUAGGGGGAGCUGGACCAAAGGCCGUAAAACCCUCGCAACUGCCGCACUUUCCGCAGCCCUGACCCGGGGCAAGUUGGUGCGCUCCAGUUGUUCCUACACCGCCGAGCAUGGAGAAGAAGGAGCAACUCUUCCGGCUUUGGUGUCCUCAGAUUCAGACCUCAAUUUCAGACUAGAGUUGAGCAGAGUAUGGCUUACACCUUUCACCUCCAACCAUCCUCAGGCUCCAGACAAGAUGGACUUUUGGGCGAACAAGCAGCUAACUGGCUGGGAGAGAUGACUGAAGGCACUGUAAGAUGCCACGGCUCCUUCUGAAUCAUUGAAGAACCAUGAAGUGACGUGCCUUCAAAUGUAUUUUGAUGCUUGGAAAGCAGGUAACCCCGUGUGAGUCACAUGUAAUAGCUCUCUGCCAUCCGCAUACCCAAUAGUACAGAAGUAUUCAAAGCCUGAGCAUGUUGGGCAACAGGUAACUCACCUCUGAGUGUCAGAAACGGGUUCUAGAUUCAAUAUUCCCACCGGGAAACAGAGGCCUAGGAAGACUGGCUUCUUGCCUGGUGUCUGCCUGCCCACCGACCAGACCACAUUUCAGAACAUGUGUUCUCAUCUCUCCCGAUAACACAGCAGGAGCCACUGUCCUUCUCUGCAGGGUCAGCUCUGAGACCUCCCCAGGGAAGCCCCCCUACCCUCGGAGAAGCCUCCUGAGUCCUGGCAGCUGGAGAGGUGAGUUCUCCUGACUUCUUUAAAUCUCUCCCUUAGGCUUGGAGAAUGACACUGGGUUCUCUCCAAAGCAAAAGGACCCAUUCAGGGCACACCAGCUCUUGUCUUUCAGCCCAAACCUGCUCCACCUUCUUCUAAUAUACAUAAACAAGUGUCCUCCAGCCCUUCCUCUUCAGCUGNUUAGGCUUUUUUUUUUUUUUUUUUUUUUUUGGUCUUUUU
rnacentral:lncRNA from 1 species